UGAGUAUGAUCCAAUCCUCACAAGAGGAUACCCUGUCUACUAGGGUCAAUGUGCCUCUGCUGCACAAUAUACAAUGCAUCCUAGAUGCCGGGAUCUCUACUAUCCCUAAGUUCAUGUCAAGUUUACUACACUAGACUCGAUGCCACUCGUUCGAUCAUUGUAGUAAGUUUUCUACUAGUUGACAUGCCACUCGUUCAAAUUUAGUGUUUCUACCACACAACUUCAAUGCCACUCUACUAGGCUAAGUCCAAGUUCGGCUCUUUAUGCCGCUAUAGGAUUCUAAGUCACAAGACCCAAUCCUCAUGCUAUCCUAGUCCACGUGUCAAGCUCACCCCGCUACACUACCAAGAAAGCAUGCAAGGGAAUGGAAAUGUACAACUACUACUCCUAUAGCACAAUAUGAUCAAUAUAAUUAACUUAGACAUAAAAAGAAAUCCGGAUGUUUCGGGAUGACACCCCCCACCUUUUGUGUAUACGGAGGCUCUAGAAAUGCGCUUCGGCAUCCUUUACGACGAAGCCUCGAUCUCCUUGGUUCAAAUGAUGCUCAAUCGGCAUUGUUUCGCCGAUAGCUCUUAACCCGCUCGACGAAUCGAAAUUCCGACUUCGCCCCCACGUUUCGUUACCUAGCAAUUAGGUUUACAAGACCUCAAAUGAGAUCAAUCUCAUACUUUACCAAAAACCCUAUUUUGGUGCCCUAGGGUUAGCAUCAAGCUAAACCCAUCUCAAAACCCUAGAUUUUAGCUCUAAUCCCUCUAUUCAUGGUACUAGAGAUCCAUUUGAUCCCAUCCAAAGAGCUAAAACCCAAAAACCCUAAGUUUCAUAGCUAGGGUUAGAAGCCUACCUCUUGUUGUAGCUUCAAAGAGAGAAGAGAGGAAGAGGGAGAGGUCCAAAAGCUUUCUUUUGUUGAUAUCCUUCUUCUUCUCCUUCCUUUU
rnacentral:lncRNA from 1 species